rnacentral:rRNA from 1 species
UGGGGGAUAUUGCACAAUGGGGGGGAACCCGUGAUGCAGCGACGCCGCGUGGGUGAAGGAGCGUUUCGGCGCGUAAAGCCCUAUCGGCAGGGAAGAAGAUGACGGUACCUGACCAAGAAGCCCCGGCUAACUACGUGCC